GACGAACGCUGGCGGCGUGCUUAACACAUGCAAGUCGAACGGAAAGGCCCUGCUUGCUGGGUACUCGAGUGGAGAACGGGUGAGUAACACGUGGGUGAUCUGCCCUGCACUUCGGGAUAAGCCUGGGAAACUGGGUCUAAUACCGGCUAGGAGCCAUUUUUAGUGUGAUGGUUGGAAAGUUUUUUCGGUGUAGGAUGAGCUCGCGGCCUAUCAGCUUGUUGGUGGGGUAAUGGCCUACCAAGGCGGCGACGGGUAGCCGGCCUGAGAGGGUGGACGGCCACAUUGGGACUGAGAUACGGCCCAGACUCCUACGGGAGGCAGAAGUGGGGAAUAUUGCACAAGGGGCGCAAGCCUGAUGCAGCGACGCCGCGUGGGGGAUGACGGCCUUGGGGUUGUAAACUCCUUUCGCUAGGGACGAAGCUUUUUGUGACGGUACCUAGAUAAGAAGCACCGGCUAACUACGUG
rnacentral:rRNA from 1 species